rnacentral:rRNA from 1 species
GACGUAGGGGGCGAGCGUUGUUCGGAGUUACUGGGCGUAAAGCGUGCGUAGGCGGACUUAUAAGUCAAGGUUGAAAUAUCCGGGCUCAACUCGGGGCACGGCCUUGAUACUGCAAGUCUUGAGUCAAGUAGAGGGUAAUGGAAUUCCCGGUGUAGCGGUGAAAUGCGUAGAUAUCGUAAGGAAGACCAGUGGCGAAGGCGAGUCUCUGGACAGUUGCUGACGCUGAGGCACGAAGGCCAGGGGAGCAAACGGG